UGUAUGUUUAUGUUUAUGUGAAUGACGUUUGUUGAUGAUGAAAUAAGUAAUUGCUGCUAGUUAUGAUGUUAGAUUGUGUUUGAUAAUGAUGAAGAUGAUUAAGAGAUGAUGAGAACCUUAAGAAACCAAAAUGGUUAGUUAGAACCUAAGCCAAAUUCUGCCGAUAUAGUUAAUGAAAUUAGGUAGCAAAUUACACAAAUUUCUGGGCAAAAUCUAGCCACUCAAAAAUCCGGUAAUAAUUCUCUGGUAAUCCUUGAUGAGGGUAGAUCGAUGUUCUGAAAAUCAGUUCGAACUGACCGAUCGAACCGCAAACCAAUGAAAAUUACGGUUUGGUUAUAUGAAAAAACCGAAAAAAAUGAAAACCAUUUUUGAACUGCUAAACCAGCCAGUAAUCGGUCAGUCAAACUGAACCGAGACCCGGCCGGUUUUUUACUUUGCCCAAAAAUGCUGAAAAUGCAGCCGUUUAGCAUUCAGUAACCCCACCCCCCCAACCCUUACCAUUUACCAACCCUAACUCACUCCAACUCUCCAACGGCGUAGCAGCACACCAUCCCUCGUCCCUCCCAUCGCCUUCGAGCUGGCCGUUCCUCUCAACGCCGGCGAGCUCAGUCCCUCCCUUUCGUUCAGCCGCCGGACUGCUCCUGACGCCGUCGCCGGUUGGAGCUUCGAAGCUCACUCGGUCCUUCACUCAGCUAACGUCUCAAACUCUCAGCAGUGGAAGCAUAGUCAUCGAGCUCGCCUCCUGCCUCCGUCGCGAAGCUCUGUUCCACCGUCGCCGGCGCCAUCUCUGUUCCUGCCUCCGUCGCCAUCUCUCCGUUUCCAACGCCGUCAUCCUUCCUUGCAUUUGAAACUAUGGAGGAUUCCGACUUGACUGCCGUCAUUAGAGUUAUAUUCAGAAGGCUACUGGAAGAGCUUGUGAUUCCAAACCCUACAGGAGAUGCCCGAGACUAGUCCUGAGAUGAUCUUCUGCAGACUUGCGCCUCAGCAGUGGUAUGAUAUAGGAUAGAUGGUAUUUGUUUUCUUAGAAUCUUCUUUCCCUCACUUUUGGUAGCUCUUCGAGGAAUAGGGUUUGUUAUUUUUUUCUGUUAGUUCGGAUACCAGUUUUGGGGUUUUCUAUAGAACCAGGUAUUCUGGAAAGUUGUCAGUUGUAUAUAAGUCUAUAUGUGUAUAUAUAUAAAUAUCGAAGCAUGUCAAGUUUGUAUGAACUAACUUAAGAUGUAUAUAUGUAUGAAAGUUUUUUUCUAUAA